rnacentral:rRNA from 1 species
AUUGAACGCUGGCGGCAUGCCUUACACAUGCAAGUCGAACGGCAGCACGGGAGCAAUCCUGGUGGCGAGUGGCGAACGGGUGAGUAAUAUAUCGGAACGUGCCCAGUCGUGGGGGAUAACGUAGCGAAAGCUACGCUAAUACCGCAUACGAUCUAUGGAUGAAAGCGGGGGAUCGCAAGACCUCGCGCGAUUGGAGCGGCCGAUAUCAGAUUAGGUAGUUGGUGGGGUAAAAGCUUACCAAGCCUGCGAUCUGUAGCUGGUCUGAGAGGACGACCAGCCACACUGGAACUGAGACACGGUCCAGACUCCUACGGGAGGCAGCAGUAAGGAAUAUUGGACAAUGGCCGCAAGGCUGAUCCAGCCAUGCCGCGUGCAGGAAGACGGACCUAUGGUUUGUAAACUGCUUUUGAACGGGAGAAAACCCCCCUACGUGUAGGGGGCUGAUAGUACUGUUAGAAUAAGCAUCGGCUAACUUCGUGCCA